GCGUUCUUGGAGACAAUGGAUUACCGCUUCGCAUUAAGUUUUAAGCCUAGCAGUGGACUAGUAAAGCCUGUCAUGCCGUUUAUUUUCCGAUUAUUAAAAAGAAGAGGAGAAAAUGGAUUGAUUUAUACAGGGCUCCAGAAGGUACUGAAAAAAGGACAAUGAUUCGACUGAAUGUGUUAUCUUUGUACUGGUAUCUGUUAAUGGGGUUUAUCUCAUAGUUCUCUCAUAUGACAACUUCCAAGUAGUUACUGAUGGAAUUCAUUUUAAAUCAGGCACAAUAUGAUCACUUCCACCUGAUGUUUUUCCAGGUUCUUGUGAAAAGUGUUUCAACUGGCACCAUUCCGCUACAAAUACUUUGCCGAUGGAACUGACAUCAAUCAAAUGCUCACGACACUGAUAAUUCAUUAAUUGGAAGAGAAUUUCUUUGGGACAAACAAACUGUUUCAACAUUUUUCACCUACAAG